rnacentral:rRNA from 1 species
CCUACGGGGCGCAGCAGUGAGGAAUAUUGGUCAAUGGACGGAAGUCUGAACCAGCCAUGCCGCGUGCAGGAAGACGGCUCUAUGAGUUGUAAACUGCUUUUGUACAAGGGUAAACCUGAAUACGUGUAUUCAGCUGAAAGUACUGUACGAAUAAGGAUCGGCUAACUCCGUGCCAGCAGCCGCGGUAAUACGGAGGAUCCAAGCGUUAUCCGGAUUUAUUGGGUUUAAAGGGUGCGUAGGCGGAUUGAUAAGUUAGAGGGGAAAUGUCCGAGCUUAACUCGGGAACUGCCUCUAAUACUGUUGAUCUAGAGAGUAGAUGCGGUAGGCGGAAUGUAUGGUGUAGCGGUGAAAUGCUUAGAGAUCAUACAGAACACAGAUUGCGAAGGCAGCUUACCAAUCUAUAUCUGACGUUGAGGCACGAAAGCGUGGGGAGCAAACAGGAUUAGAUACCCGGGUAGUC